rnacentral:sRNA from 1 species
GCCAGGUGCGGUGGUGCACACCUGUAAUCCCAGCAGCUUGGGAGGCUGAGGAAGGAAGAUUGCGAGUUCAAAUCCAGCCUCAGCAAAGGCAAGGCACUAAGCAAUUUGGUGAGACCCUGUCUCUA